UUGCCGGCGAGCUAUACAUGCAGUCGAGCGGACAGAAGGGAGCUUGCUCCCGGAUGUUAGCGGCGGACGGGUGAGUAACACGUGGGUAACCUGCCUGUAAGACUGGGAUAACUCCGGGAAACCGGAGCUAAUACCGGAUAGUUCCUUGAACCGCAUGGUUCAAGGAUGAAAGACGGUUUCGGCUGUCACUUACAGAUGGACCCGCGGCGCAUUAGCUAGUUGGUGAGGUAACGGCUCACCAAGGCGACGAUGCGUAGCCGACCUGAGAGGGUGAUCGGCCACACUGGGACUGAGACACGGCCCAGACUCCUACGGGAGGCAGCAGUAGGGAAUCUUCCGCAAUGGACGAAAGUCUGACGGAGCAACGCCGCGUGAGUGAUGAAGGUUUUCGGAUCGUAAAGCUCUGUUGUUAGGGAAGAACAAGUGCAAGAGUAACUGCUUGCACCUUGACGGUACCUAACCAGAAAGCCACGGCUAACUACGUGCCAGCAGCCGCGGUAAUACGUAGGUGGCAAGCGUUGUCCGGAAUUAUUGGGCGUAAAGGGCUCGCAGGCGGUUUCUUAAGUCUGAUGUGAAAGCCCCCGGCUCAACCGGGGAGGGUCAUUGGAAACUGGGAAACUUGAGUGCAGAAGAGGAGAGUGGAAUUCCACGUGUAGCGGUGAAAUGCGUAGAGAUGUGGAGGAACACCAGUGGCGAAGGCGACUCUCUGGUCUGUAACUGACGCUGAGGAGCGAAAGCGUGGGGAGCGAACAGGAUUAGAUACCCUGGUAGUCCACGCCGUAAACGAUGAGUGCUAAGUGUUAGGGGGUUUCCGCCCCUUAGUGCUGCAGCUAACGCAUUAAGCACUCCGCCUGGGGAGUACGGUCGCAAGACUGAAACUCAAAGGAAUUGACGGGGGCCCGCACAAGCGGUGGAGCAUGUGUUUAAUUCGAAGCAACGCGAAGAACCUUACCAGGUCUUGACAUCCUCUGACAACCCUAGAGGAUAGGGCUUUUCCUUCGGGACAGACUGAACAGGUGGUGCCAUGCUUGUCGUCAGCUCGUGUCGGGAGAUGUGGCUAAGUCCCGCACGAGCGCAACCUUGAUCUUAGUUGCCAGCAUUCAGUG
rnacentral:rRNA from 1 species